GAUGAACGCUAGCGGCAGGCCUAACACAUGCAAGUCGAGGGGUAGAGGAAGCUUGCUUCCUUGAGACCGGCGCACGGGUGCGUAACGCGUAUGCAAUCUACCUUAUACAGGGGGAUAGCCCAGAGAAAUUUGGAUUAAUACCCCAUAGUAUUAUGAAAUCGCAUGGUUUUAUAAUUAAAGUUCCAACGGUAUAAGAUGAGCAUUCGUCCCAUUAGCUAGUUGGUGUGGUAACGGCAUACCAAGGCAAUGAUGGGUAGGGGUCCUGAGAGGGAGAUCCCCCACACUGGUACUGAGACACGGACCAGACUCCUACGGGAGGCAGCAGUGAGGAAUAUUGGUCAAUGGGCGCAAGCCUGAACCAGCCAUGCCGCGUGCAGGAUGACGGUCCUAUGGAUUGUAAACUGCUUUUGUACGGGAAGAAUCACUCCUACGUGUAGGAGCUUGACGGUACCGUAAGAAUAAGGAUCGGCUAACUCCGUGCCAGCAGCCGCCGUAAAAC
rnacentral:rRNA from 1 species